rnacentral:lncRNA from 1 species
GUAGGCAGAGGCCGCUUAACUCCCUACGGGGUUAUUCUCCGCCUCUUCUAGGGUAGGCAGGUGUUCCCGAGUCCCUUAGGGGGGGUCCCCGCGGCGGCCUGAGAUGCUCGGCGCCAGGUUGUCGCGCCCUUGAGCUGGCUGAAGUAGACAUUGACUCUGGAGAGUCUGCGUUUUUCCUGGUCCCAGAGCCGUGGUCCCGAUACUGCGCUUCCCGCUCCUCCAGUCCCAGCUCCCAGGCUCCGUCUUCUCCCGCUUGGCGCUGGAGAAACACCGGAAGAGAGAGUCGCAGAGUGACUGCUGUGGCCCUGCGACCUGACUGCCACCUUCCAGGACUCUAGCCCUGGCUCCUUCUAACCUUCCCGCCCCUCAGUGCCCCAGAGAGGCUGGUUUGCGGACAAUUAUUCAUCAGCCGGAAGAAAAGGAGGUGCCAGUGUUAGGCGCAGAAGAGGGUUGGACCAGAAAAGCUGGAGAGGGGCAAGAGGGGAAAGAGGGGGAAGGGGGAAGGCGGAAGGCGGAAGAAGUUGGGAGGGGUAACAGCUCGAGCUUUUCCUCUAGCGUAGUUUCUCUUCUCUCGGUGCCGCCCCAUCUGCUUCUUGCCUCAGUUCCCCACUCGCACCCGUGCACCUCUGCGGCAGGCGUGUGAAAGGAAUGGGAGGGGGGGCUUUUGGUCGGGAUAUCUGGUCCUCCAGACCCCACAGCCUUGGCUGAGAACUUACUUAAGCCCACUCCAACUGACUUGAUAAAUGAGAAUCUUGACCAGCCCACUGGUAGGUAGAAAUGAGGGACGUCAUGUAUCCCUGAAUGGAAUAACCCGAAACCGCAGGUCCCGUGGAUGUGGGAAUCCACAGCACUGGCUGCGCUCCUAAGGCUCCUAAGUCCACUUCCGAACCUCAUCUAAGACCCUGAAAGCCAGACUAGGGACACAUUGGAUUAUUAUUAUUAUUUUUUUUAUUUGAGACAGGGUCUCGCUCUGUCGCCCAGGCUGGAGUGCAGUGGUGUGAUCUUGUCUCACUGCAACCUCCGCCUCCCGCGUUCAAGCGAUUUUCGUGCCUCAGCCUCCCGAGGAGCUGGAUCUACAGGUGCGCACCACCACGCCUGGAUAAUUUCUGUAUUUUUAGUAGAGACGGGGUUUCACCAUGUUUGCCAGGCUUGUCUCGAACUGUUGACCUCAAGUUAUCCUCCCGCCUCCACCUCUUAAAGUGCUGGGAUUACAGGCCUGAGCCUCUGCGCCAGUCCUACACGUUGGAUCUUUUCCCAGACCUCCUCCUCAGACGUGGAGCGUACAAAUGAUGCUCCAUCGGUUACUCUGAUCCUGACUUUGGGACUGCCAGAUAAAACUGGGAGAAACCCUACAUUUACUCUUACUGUAACGUAUUGGCUUGAAACUGCAGGUCAGAACCCAUUUAUGUUGAGACCAAAAGACUUUUUUUCCAAGUAGAAUGAAAUAGAAUAAAAUACAAUUGAAAAUA